CAUGUACUCCCUUCGUCCGGAAAUACUUGUCGAAGAAAUGGAUAAAAAUGAAUGUAUCUAGAACUAAGAUAUGUCUAGAUACAUCCAUUCCUCCGACAAGUAUUUCCGGAUGGAGGGAGUACAAG
rnacentral:pre_miRNA from 1 species